rnacentral:rRNA from 1 species
CCCUUAGAUGUUUGGGGCCGCACGCGCGCUACACUGAAGGACUCAACGUGUGUUUGUCCUGGCUCGGGAGGGCUGGGUAACCCGUUGAACCUCCUUCGUGCUAGGGAUUGGGGCUUGUAAUUCUUCCCCAUGAACGAGGAAUUCCCAGUAAGCGCGAGUCAUCAGCUCGCGUUGAUUACGUCCCUGCCCUUUGUACACACCGCCCGUCGCUACUACCGAUUGGAUGGUUUAGCGAGAACUUUGGACCGGAGCUCGGGUGGUCAGCAAUGGCCGCCCGAGACAUACUGGGAAAUCGCUCCAGCUUGAUCAUCUAGAGGAAGUAAAAGUCGUAACA